UAAUACUGUCUGGUAAUGCCGUC
rnacentral:ncRNA from 2 species